rnacentral:tRNA from 3 species
CGCGAGGUAGAGCAGUCUGGCAAGCUCGUCGGGUUCAUACCCCGAAGGUCGCAGGUUCAAAUCCUGCCUUCGCUA